rnacentral:rRNA from 1 species
ACACGCAUGACACACUGCAUAUCAAUAAGCGGAGGAAAAGAAACUAACAAGGAUUCCCUUAGUAACGGCGAGUGAAGCGGGAAGAGCUCAAAUUUGAAAUCUUCAAGGUUCUACCUUGACGAAUUGUAGUUUAUAGAAGUGUUUUCUGUUAGUAGAGUGGCAAAAGUUCUUUGGAAUAGGACAUCAUAGAGGGUGAGAAUCCCGUAUUUGGUCAUUCUUUCUAGCUUUGCGAUACACUUUCAACGAGUCGGAUUGUUUGGGAAUGCAGUCCAAAAUGGGUGGUAAAUUUCAUCUAAAGCUAAAUAUUGGCGAGAGACCGAUAGCGAACAAGUACCGUGAGGGAAAGAUGAAAAGAACUUUGAAAAGAGAGUUAAACAGUACGUGAAAUUGUCAAAAGGGAAGCGUUUGACACCAGUGUUGUUUUUCCGAAAAUCAAUUACGAAUGUUUUAUUUUUGAGGAGUUAUGACUUCAUCGGCUUGCUUCUCUCUUUAUGAAACUUUCUUAAUGCACUUUUCGGUUAACAAGUCAACAUCAAUUUCUUUUGUUGUAAAAGGGUAUGAGGAAGGUGGCUUUCUUUUCGGAGAAAGUGUUUAUAGCCUUGUACCUCUGCAAUCGGAGAGAUUGAGGUCUGCAGCGUAGAUCCUUCGGGGUUAGAUACGUUUGUGCUAAGUUAUAGCUUUUCAUAGACAACUUGUUGACUAUGUUUAGUCUUGUAGCUUACUCGCUUAUGCUAUUUUACCUACGCUUAGGAUGUUGACUGAUAUGUAGUCGUA